rnacentral:piRNA from 1 species
UCCAUAAAGGAUUCAGAGCCCUCUGCUCCA